GACGAAGGAUGCAAGCGUUAUCCGGAUUCAUUGGGUUUAAAGGGAGCGUAGGUGGCCUUAUAAGUCAGUGGUGAAAUCUCUGGGCUUAACCCAGAAAUUGCCAUUGAUACUGUAGGGCUUGAGUAUAGUUGCCGUUGGCGGAAUACGACAUGUAGUGGUGAAAUACAUAGAGAUGUCAUAGAACACCGAUUGCGAAGGCAGCUGACGAAACUAUAACUGACACUGAGGCUCGAAAGUGCGGGGAUCAAACAGG
rnacentral:rRNA from 1 species